rnacentral:rRNA from 1 species
GACGAACGCUGGCGGCGUGCUUAACACAUGCAAGUCGAACGGUGAAGCGCCUUCCUUUUUGGUGGGUGUGGAUGAGUGGCGAACGGGUGAGUAACACGUUAGUAACCUGCCCCCUUCUUCUGGAUAACCGCAAGAAAGUGUGGCUAAUACGGGAUAUUCUGGGUCUGUCGCAUGAUGGGUCUGGGAAAGAUUUUGUUUCGGUGGGGGAUGGGCUCGCGGCCUAUCAGCUUGUUGGUGGGGUGAUGGCCUACCAAGGCGGUGACGGGUAGCCGGCCUGAGAGGGUGGACGGCCAUACUGGGACUGAGCGACGGCCCAGACUCCUACGGGAGGCAGCAGUGGGGAAUAUUGCACAGUGGGAGGAAGGCUGAUGCAGCGACGCCGCGGGGGGGAUGGAGGCCUGCGGGUUGUGAACCUCUUUCGCCAGUGAAGCAGGCCUGCCUCGUUUGUGGGUGGGUUGACGGUAGCUGGAUAAGAAGCGCCGGCUAACUACGUG